AUGAACGCUGGCGGCGUGCCUAAUACAUGCAAGUCGCGCGAACAGACGAGGAGCUUGCUCCUCUGACGUUAACGGCGGACGGGUGAGUAACACGUGGAUAACCUACCUAUAAGACUGGGAUAACUUCGGGAAACCGGAGCUAAUACCGGAUAAUAUAUUGAACCGCAUGGUUCAAUAGUGAAAGACGGUUUUGCUGUCACUUAUAGAUGGAUCCGCGCCGCAUUAGCUAGUUGGUAAGGUAACGGCUUACCAAGGCAACGAUGCGUAGCCGACCUGAGAGGGUGAUCGGCCACACUGGAACUGAGACACGGUCCAGACUCCUACGGGAGGCAGCAGUAGGGAAUCUUCCGCAAUGGGCGAAAGCCUGACGGAGCAACGCCGCGUGAGUGAUGAAGGUCUUCGGAUCGUAAAACUCUGUUAUUAGGGAAGAACAAAUGUGUAAGUAACUAUGCACGUCUUGACGGUACCUAAUCAGAAAGCCACGGCUAACUACGUG
rnacentral:rRNA from 1 species